rnacentral:tRNA from 1 species
AGUUUACAAAAAACAUUGGUCUUGUAAACCAAAGAAUGAAGWCUCACCUCUUCUUAGAGUU